GAUUGAAUAAGCUAAAUUCAAGCCGUUGGGCUCAUACCCCAAAAAUGAGAUAUUCUCUUCAAUCA
rnacentral:tRNA from 1 species